CCUACGGGUGGCUGCAGUGGGGAAUUUUGGACAAUGGGGGCAACCCUGAUCCAGCCAUGCCGCGUGCGGGAAGAAGGCCUUCGGGUUGUAAACCGCUUUUGUCAGGGAAGAAAUCUUCCGAGCUAAUACCUUGGGAGGAUGACGGUACCUGCAGAAUAAGCACCGGCUAACUACGUGCCAGCAGCCGCGGUAAUACGUAGGGUGCAAACGUUAAUCGGAGCGACUGGAGGUAGUUGUGGAGCACACGUGUGAAAUCCCCGGGCUUAACCUGGGAACUGCACUUGUGACUGUACGGCUGGAGUACGGCAGAGGGGGAUGGAAUUCCGCGUGUAGCAGUGAAAUGCGUAGAUAUGCGGAGGAACACCGAUGGCGAAGGCAGUCCCCUGGGCCUGUACUGACGCUCAUGCACGAAAGCGUGGGGAGCAAACAGGAUUAGAUACCCUGGUAGUC
rnacentral:rRNA from 1 species